UGACGGUACCUGACUAAGAAGCCCCGGCUAACUACGUGCCAGCAGCCGCGGUAAUACGUAGGGGGCAAGCGUUAUCCGGAUUUACUGGGUGUAAAGGGAGCGUAGACGGAUGUGCAAGUCUGAUGUGAAAGGCUGCGGCUUAACUGCAGGACUGCAUUGGAAACUGUACAUCUGGAGUGCCGGAGAGGUAAGCGGAAUUCCUAGUGUAGCGGUGAAAUGCGUAGAUAUUAGGAGGAACACCAGUGGCGAAGGCGGCUUACUGGACUGUAACUGACGUUGAGGCUCGAAAGCGUGGGGAGCAAACAGGAUUAGAUACCCUG
rnacentral:rRNA from 1 species